GUUUGCUAUAAUUAAUUUCAUCUUCUUGUUGGAAACAGCAAGAAGCCAUCUCCUUUGUGUUGUUUAUAGUAACAAAACAAAUUUUUGCUCGAUGUAUACGCAAGUACUAGUCCUUGCUUGCCGUAUACUCAAAUUCAUUUCCCGUAAAGCCAAGUCUCGUGUAGGUCGACACCACUUACAUAUGACUUGGCUUUU
rnacentral:sRNA from 1 species